UGGGCCGUCGCCAAGCGGUAAGGCAGCAGGUUUUGGUCCUGCUAUUCGGGGGUUCGAAUCCCUCUACCCCAUCCA
rnacentral:tRNA from 1 species